rnacentral:lncRNA from 1 species
CACAAUCUGCCUUCGAAAGAAGCAUAUAUUUUUGUAAAGGUGGUUUUUUUCUGUUGAAGUAAUAGGAGAAAUAAAGGCAAUAUCGAAAUAAAAAAAAGAAAUUUAUUACAAAAAUCGCUAAAAUUUUACAAUAAUUUAGUUUAAGUACAGCUUAUAUGGAAAUUAUAUUAAAAAAGAUAGGUCACCGAUGAGUUGAAAAAGAUAUUUCAAUUUUAGAGCCAAAAAAUGGCAUUUUCCACCAAGGGAGAUAAUUUGGAACUUUUUCAAUGAUGUAUACAUUUUGAAAGUCAUCUGGGGCCAACACGAAUUGAUUGUUUUGAAUGAUUUUUGUACCAUAUGAUAAAGUAACAACUACAAAAGGAAAUAAAUAAAAUUUGUGAUGAAAAACAAAUGUUUGAUUUUUUUCUGAAAUUUUUAUACCCUCGAGCCUCCUUAAACGUAACAAAUAACGGAAAGAA